AUGGCUUCCAACGCGAGCAUGUUGGCCAUGAUCAUGGCGUGCGCGCUCCUUCUCACCGGCAGCACCACGACGUGCCAUGCCGCUCGCCACUUGGCCGACACCACCCCGGCGGCUGCCCCACCCGCUGCGGCUGCUGUCCCUGGCCUCCCGGCCGUGCCGACCAUGCCGACGCUGCCACCGAUGCCGGCUGUGCCGACGGUGUCGUCCUUGACUGUGCCACCUAUGCCGACUGUGCCCACCAUGCCGCAGGUGACACUGCCGCCCAUGCCGGCUGUUCCUGCGGUGCCCAAGGUGACAAUGCCCCCAAUGCCCGCCAUCGUCGUGCCUAAGAAGGUGACGAUGCCACCGAUGCCCGCCAUUCCUUCCAUGCCCAAGAUGACGCUGGCGCCGAUGCCUUCUAUCCCGACCGCCAACGUGCCUAUGCCAUUCCUGGCGCCACCUCCAUCAACUUAG
rnacentral:rRNA from 1 species